UGCGCAGGCGGUUAUGUAAGACAGAUGUGAAAUCCCCGGGCUCAACCUGGGAACUGCAUUUGUGACUGCAUGGCUAGAGUACGGUAGAGGGGGAUGGAGUUCCGCGUGUAGCAGUGAAAUGCGUAGAUAUGCGGAGGAACACCGAUGGCGAAGGCAAUCCCCUGGACCUGUACUGACGCUCAUGCACGAAAGCGUGGGGAGCAAACA
rnacentral:rRNA from 1 species